GCUUCUCUGAUGUUAGCGGCGGACGGGUGAGUAACACGUGGAUAACCUACCUAUAAGACUGGGAUAACUUCGGGAAACCGGAGCUAAUACCGGAUAAUAUUUUGAACCGCAUGGUUCAAAAGUGAAAGACGGUCUUGCUGUCACUUAUAGAUGGAUCCGCGCUGCAUUAGCUAGUUGGUAAGGUAACGGCUUACCAAGGCAACGAUGCAUAGCCGACCUGAGAGGGUGAUCGGCCACACUGGAACUGAGACACGGUCCAGACUCCUACGGGAGGCAGCAGUAGGGAAUCUUCCGCAAUGGGCGAAAGCCUGACGGAGCAACGCCGCGUGAGUGAUGAAGGUCUUCGGAUCGUAAAACUCUGUUAUUAGGGAAGAACAUAUGUGUAAGUAACUGUGCACAUCUUGACGGUACCUAAUCAGAAAGCCACGGCUAACUACGUGCCAGCAGCCGCGGUAAUACGUAGGUGGCAAGCGUUAUCCGGAAUUAUUGGGCGUAAAGCGCGCGUAGGCGGUUUUUUAAGUCUGAUGUGAAAGCCCACGGCUCAACCGUGGAGGGUCAUUGGAAACUGGAAAACUUGAGUGCAGAAGAGGAAAGUGGAAUUCCAUGUGUAGCGGUGAAAUGCGCAGAGAUAUGGAGGAACACCAGUGGCGAAGGCGACUUUCUGGUCUGUAACUGACGCUGAUGUGCGAAAGCGUGGGGAUCAAACAGGAUUAGAUACCCUGGUAGUCCACGCCGUAAACGAUGAGUGCUAAGUGUUAGGGGGUUUCCGCCCCUUAGUGCUGCAGCUAACGCAUUAAGCACUCCGCCUGGGGAGUACGACCGCAAGGUUGAAACUCAAAGGAAUUGACGGGGACCCGCACAAGCGGUGGAGCAUGUGGUUUAAUUCGAAGCAACGCGAAGAACCUUACCAAAUCUUGACAUCCUUUGACAACUCUAGAGAUAGAGCUUUCCCCUUCGGGGGACAAAGUGACAGGUGGUGCAUGGUUGUCGUCAGCUCGUGUCGUGAGAUGUUGGGUUAAGUCCCGCAACGAGCGCAACCCUUAAGCUUAGUUGCCAUCAUUAAGUUGGGCACUCUAAGUUGACUGCCGGUGACAACCGGAGGAAGGUGGGGAUGACGUCAAAUCAUCAUGCCCCUUAUGAUUUGGGCUA
rnacentral:rRNA from 1 species